rnacentral:lncRNA from 1 species
GGAACAUCUAAGCUUCUCUACUCACCAGACGGCCUCAAAUCAUGGGGAGCACCAAAGGCUUGGGACUUAUGUCGUUGUAUCUUUCAUCCACACUAGUCUUUCUGUUGGAAUGCCUUUGCCAAUUUUGACUGCCUGGCAAACUCUUAUUCAUCCUUCAAUUCUCAGAGGGAUAUCUAUCAGACAUUCUACCUGGCGUCUGCUGCUCCAUCAUCACUGCAUCCAUCAUCACCAGAGGAGUCUCCUCUCCUUCUGUGGAGAAUAGAGAGGCCCAAAGAGAGAUAGAUGGAGGAACAGCUGGUUGGUGGAGCAGUCAGAAGGCAUGCAAUAUUUAUCAAGUCCACUAUCUAAUGUGGGCACAGUUUGUGGUACCUCAAAACAGUUGCAAUAGUAACAUCAAAGAUAACUGAUGGCAGAUCACCAUAGCAGAUAAAAUAAUAAUGGCAAAGUUCGAAAUAUAGUGAGAACUACCAAAAUGUGGCAGAGAUGUAAAGCGAGCACAUACUGUUGGGAAAAUGGCACUAAUAGACUUGUUAAACACAGGGUUGCCACAAACUUUCAAUUUGUAAAAAAUGCCAUAUAUGUAAAGUGCAAUAAAGUGAGGUAUGCUUGU